CUUCUCUUCAGAGCACUGUCCGUGUCUGGUAUGGUUUCUCCCACACAGACUGCACACACUGGGGCUGACGGUCCCUCCUGGGCCCUGAUGGCCUUUCCUGUGAGCCCCCGGGAGUAAGCCAUCAUAAAUGGCAGCUAAGCCACUAGAGGCGGUAGGUUUCUUUGCAGUUCCCUGUCUGGACUCUUGGCUUGGACUCUCGGGGGGGUCAGCUCUAGCCUCUAGGAGCCUCUUCCUGCGACCACGUCUAUCUUUUCUCACGGCGGAUUCAGGGGCUUUGAAGUCAAACUCAUCCCCAGGCAGCUAUCGACCGCCUGUCAUGUCUGCUGCUUAAGCCACAGUUAGCCAGCUUCCUACACUUGACCCUGUAAUUGAAUUUCCUUGGGAACUCAGUGACAAGAUUGAUUCCUCCUAAUUGAGUCAGAGAUGGACUCCGAGCGCCAUUCAUACUGUCCUUGUUUGCCUGGGGCUCUCUGGGCUGAGGCCCCCGACUUUCACAGAGUUUACUUCAGCUGUCAAGACCCUUUUACUUUAAAUGAUGCUGCAGACGUUUUGGGGGGGACAGAGGAAAUGCCUGUUUUUAAGUUUGCUCUGCGUUCUCAUUGAAGAAGUGCAAUUCUAAGAAAAGAAGCGAACCAGAACAGAACGAAAGUCCAGCCUUGUUCAACAGCAAGUUUGGAAAUGAGUGCAAAGUCGGCCGGCUUCUUGCGAGUCAGCAACUUAACCGUUUCUCUGUCUGCUGGGCUCCCGAUGUGACUCAAUAGGUGGGAGACCUGACUGACAGCUGCCAGGCCUUCCCAAGGCCCAGCUGAAGCUACAGUUAACAAGGACAAACCAAGCACCGACCCAGAACUGCAGAGAGGAAGGCUGAAUCAGGGUCCCCAGCUGUCGCCGCCACAGUUCCCGAGUCCGCCAUAUUGCCCCUGUGACUGAAGGGCUUGCGGCCAUUCCCACAGAGGCUGUGGGAGCUGCCAAUCCAGUAGCCUCGGUUAUUUAUUUAUCCAGCCUUUAUCAGGACCAUCACUGAUAGUUUUUAGACCCUCGCAGCCACCUGCAGGAGCCAGUUGCUGAACUGACGCAGCUGUCUUGACCACCACCCUAAGGCUGAGCUGUGUGGGAGCCUCUGCCUAGGCCGUGGCAACUUCAGGUGGUGCUCACAGGAUGAUGUCCACUGAGUCUUCCCAUGUCCCUGCCCACACGUGCUUCAGCCUUUAUGAUGACAAACUUAAGUGAAUGAGGAAGACGUUGACAGUAGAGUAGACUAAACUAGUUGCAUGCAGGGGCUGCUAAUCCCAGACACACAAGCCACCCAUAGUGGGGGACAAAGGAGUCCAGUGAACAACUGUGAGCAGAGACUUUGGGCAGCUGAAGCUGGGAAGAACUGCUGGGGUGCAGCAAAGGAGAGCGAUGUCUGUGAGCGCAUCGCUCAGCCCUCAUCAGAGAAGCUUCAUGCAGGGGAUGGAAAUUACCACAGAGACCCACAACUGCUCAAGGUGCAGAGAACAAGAGGCUACAGAAUGCUCUACCCUAAGGGGACAUCUCUAUCACACAUCUCCCCACCCAAGGCAUGGGGAUUAUUGUGGGAGGAGGGCCGGAAAGGGCAUAGGUGGUGGAUGGACCUAAAGAAAUGGCGUUUCCCCCACAGCAGAGCAUCAGCGCAUGUGAACGCACGGCAGUGUGGGCAGUGUGGGCAGUGUGGGCAGUGUGGGCAGUGUGGGCAGUGUGGGCAGUGUGUUGUCAAAGUUCAAACCAGACCGAAUCCAGGAGCGGGAGGGAGGUGCGCACAAAAGCUCACCCCUGGUUAAGGAACUGCUGGCUGCUGGGAGACAGGGAGUCCGUGUUCUUUAAGGGCGAGGCCCCUGGUAGGUUGACCAUGUUCCAUUGGAAGCCACACAUCCAAGAGUCCAUGGCAGCACCAACCGUACUUGACAGGUUAAAAAGGAAAAAAAAAGGAAGGCACAAAGUCGGGCGGGUAGGGAAGUAGGGUAGAUGAGGACGAGUGGCAGGGGUUGAAUAUGACCAAAAUACACCACGAACUUCUCAAAGAACUAACAAAAAAGGAAAAAAGAAUUACACCACAUUGUGACUGCUAAAACUUCUUAUAAACCUCAUUUUGCGUAUCUAUCCAUUCAUGAGAAGACCACACACACAUCUUUGUCGAUUUUGGCUUUUUUUGAGAAAGGGCUAAACAUAGUCCUGGUUAACCCGAGUUUAUUGUGUCCACCAGGCUGGCCUUGAGUUUAACGUAAUCCUCCUGCCUCUGCCUCUUGCGUCCUGAGUACUAGGAUUACAGACUUGUACUACCACAGCUAAAUUUAUUUUUAAUAUUAUCUUGUGAAAUGUGAUUGGCAAUCAAAACGCACUUCGCGCUAUGUGCUGGGGAUGAGCUCAGCUGGUUGACUGCUUGCCCAGUGUGCACGAAGCCCCGAGUCCACCCUCGGCACCGCACAAGCCAAGCAUCCUGGCUGUCCUAGCACCCAGGAGGUGGAGGCUGGAGGAUCAGGAGUUCAGGGUUAUCCUUGGCUACAAAUUCAAAGCCAGCUUGGGCUAUAGGAGUCGCUUUCUCCAAAAAGAAAAACCGGAUUUAUAAAAGGAAAUGGAACAACCUGUCUAGGGGGGUUAAAAAGGCCGUAAUGAAAUACCAAAAUUGACAUUUCAAAAUAAUCUCAGUUCAAAAAAAAUAUUUUUUUUUCAUGCACGGUGGGAAUAUAAAUCAGUAAAACUUUCAACUUGUCCAUACAGGGCUGGAGAGAUGACUCACUGACUGCUCUUCCAAAGGACCCAGGUUCGAUUCCCAGCACCUACAUGGUAGCUCACAACUAUCCAUACCUCCAGGGGAUCUGGCACCCUCAUACAGACAUACAUGCAGGGAAAACCCCAAUGUACAUUAAAUAAAUAAAUUAAUUUUAAAAAUGUUGUCCAUGCAUACCACAAAUCCCAUAAAGCUGGGGGCUGGAGAGAGGGCUCAGCCUUAGUGGCUAUGGGUCACAACCAAUCGAGUGGGGAGGUAGUAAAGUAAGAAUGGUUUUUAGUUUCUUGUUUCUUUUUAAAAUUUAUUUUAGAUUUAUUCAUUUUCUUUUCUAUGUGAAUACCCACUGUUUCCCAUAGAGACCAGAAGAGGACAUUGUGUGAGGAUUAAUUCCUGUACCAUUUCUGCCCUCAGCUUCCGGAUAUAAAAACUGUCGAUGAGCGAGUCUGCACCCUGAGAUUCAGAGUGGAACUGACUGGUUGUUUUUCAUGUAAAAAGCUUUAGGUUUGUGAUUGCUUUAAGAUUUCUUAUAAUCUUUAUUAUUUGAGUAAUAAAGUGAUUGAUCCUUUCUUUGUAACCGCAGAAAUGCAGCCUGCCAGUAAAAGAACUGGCUGAGAAAAACACCUUGCUUGCUUACACUCUGUUAAUCUAUAGCAAGCUGCUUGGGUACAAUGUAUGUGGGUUCUUGGGACAACUUGUUUUUCACCUGGAAUUUGUCAGAUGUUCGGUCACGUAAGGGAAAUAGAAAACAUGCUGAUUUUUACUUGUGUUCAUUG